CAGCUGCCAGGACUCCAUGCCCCCUCCCGUCCCUCCAGCCACUCCUUUUCAGUCUCCUGGGCUCUUCCUGCUCAUCUCUGUCUUCCAGUGGCUGCCCUUGCUCAGGCCUUGAACCUCUUCUUUUCCCUCCCCACCACACCCCUCAGACUUCUGCCCAUCUCGUGGCUCUGAACCCCGUCGCUAUGCUGCAGACCCCACCCCCUCUACUUCUCCCCUGAACCCCAGAGCUGUUUAUUUCCUGCCUGUGGUGCUCCGCUACGAGGGUGGGGAACGUGUGCCUCAGAUUCCCGGGUCAUACACUGAGCUUCCGACUGCCCUCACCCCAGCCGAGCUCUUCCCAGAGUGGCCCCCCACCCUCACAGGUGUCAGUCCCACUCCCAGGAGUCACCCCAACUUCUCCCUUCCUCCACGUCCCGCCUCCCACAUCCAGUCCAUUACUGGGCCAGGGGCCCCAUGCCUGUCCCUGGCUCCUCCCAGGCCCAGGCUCUUGUGCUGCUCCUCACAGCGUUCCCUGUGCCCACCUCGAACCCUGCCGGCAGACUCUACGUGGCCAGGGUGAUCCUCGCAGAACAUAAGUUCCAUUAUGUCAUUGCUUUGCUCCAAACCUUCCUACGGCUUCCAUUCCAUUCAGAGCCAAAGUCCGAUCUUAACAGUGGGUCCACAACCUUUCUAGCCACAGCCCCCCGCCAAGCCCCUCACACACUGGCCCCUGCCACACUGUCUCCCUGGGGGUCUGUGAACCCAGCAAACAGAGUCACUCCCACCUCAGGGCUUCAUGCACUCCCCUCCGCCUGCCCGAAUUCAACUUCUGACCACCAUGGUCUGCCUGAGCCCCCUCCCAUGUUUGCCUCUUUAUGCCAAGGUCACCAUCUGGGGGAGGUCUUCCCUGGACACCUCCCUUACAUCGCAAUCCCUGUCUCCCCCACACUCCCUGUUCCCGCCCCUGGGCUGUUUCUCCCCAGCGCCUGUCACCUGCUCACAUGCCUUCUCCUCCACCUACUCGUCUGGCUUGUGCUGUCUGCCCACCAAGAUGCCGGCUCCGGGAAAGCAGGGAGAUUUGUCUGCUGGUUCCCAGCUGUGCCUGGCACCUAGUAGACACGGAACAGGAUGCAAGACACACAGGCAGAGCCAACUGGCCCGGAGUCCACCUUCUCGAGCUGCAGAUGCCACUGUCCAAUCAGGAGCGACUGCAUCUGCCAGGCAGCCAAUCCCUGUGGAGCCGACAUCCUUAGGGAGAUAGUAUUUGGAGAAACGGAAGCAUGGGGCAUUUAGAAGGCCUGCCCAACUUGUCACGGAGCAAAGAGAAGCGAGAUGUGAAAAUGCUUGGAGCCCAGGAAGGAAUCCGGUCAUUAAAUCCUAGCUCUUCCCCUUGACGUGGUUGGCUGACAAGG